UACGUAGGGUGCAAGCGUUAAUCGGAAUUACUGGGCGUAAAGCGUGCGCAGGCGGCUUUGCAAGACAGAUGUCGAAAUCCCCGGGCUUAACUUGGGAACUGCAUUUGUGACUGCAUGGCUGGAGUGCGGCAGAGGGGGAUGGAAUUCCGCGUGUAGCAGUGAAAUGCGUAGAUAUGCGGAGGAACACCGAUGGCGAAGGCAAUCCCCUGGGCCUGCACUGACGCUCAUGCACGAAAGCGUGGGGAGCAAACAGG
rnacentral:rRNA from 1 species